rnacentral:lncRNA from 13 species
GUCAUUAAAUUGUUAUCGAAGAGUUUCUGUGCCUCUUUAAUGUGCAGAUAAAGUCCUCCAGCUGCUGGGAUUUUGACCCUGUAAUCCUCUUAGUCUAGACUUCUGCUGGGUUCCUUACAUGAGGUUACCUGCCCUCCACUGGUAACCUUCUCAGGAAGAAGCCAGCUGUUUAGGCAGGGACUCGUUCUGUAUGGAUGUAACAUGCUGUACUUUCACAUAAAAGCCUCACAGAUACCUCUCAAACAACAAAUUUGGCAUAUGGAAACAGCACCAUUUCACUGAGAUCCACGCCAUGUAACUAAGAGGAGCUGGAAGGCUGGGAACAGUUGGAUCUGCAGAGGAGCUCAUGCUACUGUUAAGAAUGGAGCCUGUGGGUUGGAAAAGGCUGAGAGUGCUGACCUGG